AUGAAGUUAAUAAUAAUACGCAAUGUAACAUUUUUCCGCUACCGUUAAGUUUGUAAUUGUUUGAAAAAUAAUAUGUCAAACGAAGCCCUCGCGACGAAGAGUUCAACUCCACCUUUAGAGUUUUUAAAAUAUAAUGUAUGUGAACGUGCAGACGUUUACAAUCUUAUUAUAUAAAGUAUGGUUUUCAAAGUUGCUAACUCAAAGGAUUGUGCCACGUGUCAAGUCAAACGAUCAGAUGUUUACAUGUGUCAUUCAAAAUUUAUUUUUUUAUUCUCUAAAAAAUAGAAAAUCUUAAAAAGUAAACAAAUUUACAUAUACUAAUUUAUAUGUCUAUAUAUUUAUAAACAAUUAACAUUUAUUCAACAAAAGGAAAAAUAACAAAUUUGUCUUUAACUCAUGUAAUCAUAAGUGAAAAUAGAACAUUUUGAGAAAAAUAGCUUAGUUUAUAGGAUUUAACUUUUCAAUUAUUUUCAUUUAUUAAUUUUAACUCAUUUAAUAUUAAUUUGCAUGAUGUAAAAUUAACUUACGAGAUUACGGCAUAUAUAGAAAAUAUAUUUUCAACAAUGUUUGGUUUCUAAAUAUUUUUGUGGAUUUCUUUUUUUUAUUAAUUAUUAGCCCUAGGCGUUUGGGUAUCCGGAUCGGGUAUUUUGGGUUCGGGUUUUCGGGUUUAGAAGUUUAGGACCCGUUCGGGUAAUUUAAGAUUUCGGGUCGGGUUCGGUUUGGGUUCGGGUUCGAGUUUAUUUAUAUAUUGAAAUAUCAAAUUUUGUGUGCAAAUCUAUUAAAUUACUUAAAAUUUCAAAAAUUUCCAAAACAACACGAGUAGUUUUGCUUGAAUAUAUCUAAAAAUACACAAAAAUAACUAAAAUAUCCAAAAAAUCCUAAUAUUUUCUAUAUAUAAGUAUAAAUAUAACUAAUAUAUACUUAUAUUUGAAAUAUGUUUGGAUACCUAUUCGGGUUCGGGUUCGAGUUUUUCAGAUUUUGAAGUUUAGACCCGUUCGAAUAUUUGAAAAUUUCGGGUACACCCGCCUAAAUAGACGGGCCUUAUCUAGUAUACAUAUAAUGUUUAUUCCGUAUUUUCGGAAGUACGAGCUAAAGUUGCAAAAAUUGAUGAAGUGGAGGUUUUU
rnacentral:sRNA from 1 species